CACACUCAUUCUGUGUCUAAAUGAAAGCGAAAGUUUUCAGUCUAAAGACGGAAAAGGACAACAGUCGGAUAGUUAGACGGAAAAAUGGUUAAGAUUUUUUCACAUGUUUCUGGGAACACCUUUGAUUCUCAUAACAAAAUAAUAAAAAGACUCAAGAAACGUGGCGCAAAAGAAGUAUCUGACCCAGGAGAGAGUGAUUACACAAUUGUCUUCUGCCCUAUCGUUAGUCGUUUCGAGACAGACAUUCGGUCAGCCUUAUCUGCUGUGCAAGGCAAUGGCAGUGUGAUUCUGGUUGCAAUGCAUCAUACCUACGACCCAGACUACAUUUUACCAGACAAAAGGAACUUGGACAACGGAGCCAUUCAACUCCUGGUAGAGUGUCUGUUUUUUGAGAACAAAGGACUUUUGAAAUGUUCUCGAAAUUCAAAGGCUAAGAAAUCUAUCUACAGAAAGCUGGGGCUUCCAACUAAGAAGAUGAUGCCAAUGAAAAUGUAGCACUAUUCAAACAGGGAUGCAUGAUUACUGGAUUGCAAGUGUUUGGUGCACAGCAAUAGCUUUUUUCUAGAUAUAAGGUACUUUAAAGGAUACCUUUGUAUUCUUUUGUGAAGGAAAUUAAAUAAGCUGGUUAACACAUGUAAAUAUUUGGGAUUUUGGUAUUUUGAAUUGAUGAUGCCCUCAAUUUAAAAACCUAUUUUGAAACUUUAUUUGAAGCUGUGUUUUUCAUUUUCUAAACAAGUUGUUUUUCUUUAAGCUGCUACAAAGUAGCUUGUUGGUGCAACUUGUUUGUCUAUGUUGGAGUAUUUUCUUUUAUAUAUGAAUGCCACUUCAAAAUGUCUUAGGAGGCUUACCGUAUUUUCUGGACUAUAGAGUGCCGCUCACUAUAAGCAGUGCCCACAAAAUUCUUUUUAAAAACUGGAAAUGUACAUAUAUAAUCCAUACCUAGCUUUAAGCCUCUGAUAUCUACUGAACUGUCUCCCACCAAACCUAUAGGGGGAGCUCUACAUAUAGCCUCUGGAGUCGGGAGAAAAAAGAAUGCUAGCUCCUGUUAGCUCGCAGCUGUAAGAGCUUAUAUUGAAAGAUGGGGCUUCGUCGGAUCUUUAUUUUAGCUCUGCAGGACUAGUGUCUCUUCAUUGGUUUGGCAGCUUUAAUGAGGCCAAUAAAUGUUAAAAUUUCUGAAUUUCAGUAGCCUGAUAAACCACAUUAAAUGUGAGAUUAAAUGUGUAAUUUAGUCUUGCCCCUAUGAAUGAGACAUCGGAAGAUUGUUGAUGAGAACAACUGGUUGUCUUUUAAACCAUGUCUGUGCCUAUUGAACAAUGAGCGCAACUGAGUGUGACGUAGUAAGUGCGACAGAAAGAUGGUGGGGGAAUGUAAACAAACAGCCUAUCGAUAAAACAGCAAAUAAGUCCCUCUAAAAAAUUAAUGAAUGUAGAGCCUCUUCCUGCUCACGUUUCAACAAAACCCCCAGAUUUUUGUUGUAACGUGAGCCAAAACCUUGCCUCAAAUGAUCUAAAAACGUACUUUUAUUGAACAACAGCAACAGAAAAGAGAACUUUUAACUUUCAAUGGAGCGCUCCAUUGAAAGCUGCUGCAUGCUACUGUUCAAUAGUUGUUGCCAUCUUCCUUCUUGUUUUUUCUCCAGCGUCGUGCAGCUUUGUCGUCACGCCCUAAAAACCCCGCCCACAUUGCAUCCAGACAUUCAGAACACAUCUCUGCAUUGUGAUUGGCCUGCCAGUUCUAGGGCGUGGCGCAUUGAUCGAGGCUAGACCACUCGCAGGCAAAAAUGAUUUUGGCCGCUAGCAUGUGGGGCUAGUUUACUAGGCUAUGAAUUUGGGACAUUUUUUCUCUGUCUUGCCUGCUGCUAGCAUAUUCUGGUGCUAAAUGAAAGUUAGCCCCUUAUUCUUUCAUUUCCAACUCUGACUUCCCCCUCUGGCAGUUAGGAAAAAUCCACAGAAAAGGCCCACGUUCUUAUAAGCCACAUGGUUCAAAGCGUGGGAAAAAAGUAGCUGCUUAUAGUCCAGAAAAUAUGGUAAUUCUGUCAAUGUCUCUUUUCUGAGGUUCAUUACAAACGGCAAAAUGCCAACUCAGCAUUUAUAUUUAUCGGUGCAUGGUAUGGUUUGGCUGCUCGAAAGCAUUCCCAUUGGUUAACCUUUAUCUACAGGGCAUUACUUGGACUGCUUCUGGCCUAUGUAUAAUAUGUAAUCCUACUGAGAAUGAUCAAUUUGUAUACCUUUUGCUUGCACAAUAUGCUGCUUCUUUCUGUCCAUUGUACAUAAUUGGACAAGAAAACUUUUGUUCACUCCGUGAAAAACUUUUGCAUUAAACAAACCUUUUAAACUAAA